rnacentral:rRNA from 1 species
CGGUGGCGCUGGCGGCUGCAUUAGGCAUGCAGUCGAACGAGAAGCUCUAGCUUGCUAGAGUAGAAAGUGGCGAAAGGGUGAGUAACACGUGAGUAAUCUGCCUCUAACUCGGGGAUAGCCUCUGGAAACGGAGAUUAAUACCGGAUGUGAUGAUUGAAUCGCAUGAUUCUUUCAUUAAAAUUUUUUGGUUGGAGAUGGGCUCGCGUCCCAUUAGCUAGUUGGUAAGGUAACGGCUUACCAAGGCAACGACGGGUAGGUGGUCUGAGAGGAUGGUCACCCACACUGGAACUGAGACACUGUCCAGACUCCUACGGGAGGCUGCAGUCGAGAAUCUUCCGCAAUGGGCGAAAGCCUGACGGAGCAAUGCCGCGUGAAUGAUGAAGGCCUUCGGGUUGUAAAAUUCUGUCACCUGGGACGAAAUUUGACGGUACCAGGAGAGGAAGUGACGGCUAACUACGUGCCAGCAGCCGCGGUAAUACGUAGGUCACGAGCGUUAAUCGGAUUUAUUGGGCGUAAAGGGUCCGCAGGGGGUUUUAUAAGUUUGACGUGAAAUGUCGAGGCUCAACCUCGAAACUGCGUUGAAAACUGUAAAACUAGAGUAUCGGAGAGGAAAGUGGAAUUCCUGGUGUAGCGGUGGAAUGCUUAGAUAUCAGGAGGAACAUCAAUGGCGAAGGCAGCUUUCUGGACGAUUACUGACCCUCAUGGACGAAGGUGUGGGUAGCAAACAGGAUUAGAUACCCUGGUAGUCCACACAGUAAACGGUCUAUACUAGAUGUGGGAGGAUUUGACCCCUUCCGUGUCCAAGCUAACGCGUUAAGUAUAGCGCCUGGGGAGUACGGUCGCAAGAUUAAAACUCAAAUGAAUUGACGGAAGGGC